UACGAAGGGUGCAAGCGUUAAUCGGAAUUACUGGGCGUAAAGCGUGCGUAGGCGGUUUUGUUAAGUCUGUUGUGAAAGCCCUGGGCUCAACCUGGGAAUGGCAAUGGAAACUGGCGAGCGUAGAGUCAGGUAGAGGGUGGUGGAAUUCCCGGUGUAGCGGUGAAAUGCGUAGAGAUCGGGAGGAACAUCUGUGGCGAAGGCGGCCACCUGGACCAUGACUGACGCUGAGGCACGGAAAGCGUGGGGGAGCAAACAGG
rnacentral:rRNA from 1 species